CCUACGGGAGGCAGCAGUGAGGAAUAUUGGUCAAUGGACGCAAGUCUGAACCAGCCAUGCCGCGUGCAGGAAGACGGCUCUAUGAGUUGUAAACUGCUUUUGUACGAGGGUAAACGCAGAUACGCGUAUCUGUCUGAAAGUAUCGUACGAAUAAGGAUCGGCUAACUCCGUGCCAGCAGCCGCGGUAAUACGGAGGAUUCAAGCGUUAUCCGGAUUUAUUGGGUUUAAAGGGUGCGUAGGCGGUCGGAUAAGUUAGAGGUGAAAUCCCGAGGCUCAACUUCGGAAUUGCCUAUGAUACUGUUCGGCGAGAGAGUAGUUGCGGUAGGCGGAAUGUAUGGUGUAGCGGUGAAAUGCUUAGAGAUCAUACAGAACACCGAUUGCGAAGGCAGCUUACCAAGCUACUUCUGACGUUGAGGCACGAAAGCGUGGGGAGCAAACAGGAUUAGAUACCCGUGUAGUC
rnacentral:rRNA from 1 species